rnacentral:misc_RNA from 1 species
AAGUCGUAACAAGGUUUCCGUAGGUGAACCUGCGGAAGGAUCAUUACCGAAUUGUCAACAAGAGUUGUUGCUGGCCUCCAAACGGAGACAUGUGCACGCUCUGUUCACACAUCCACUCACACCUGUGCACCCUCCGUAGUUCUAUGGUUGGGGGAUUUUGUCCCCCUCUGUGGUUCUGCAUCUUUACACACACUCUGUAUAAAAGUCUCAUGGAAUGUAUGCCGCGAUUAACGCAAUAUAAUACAACUUUCAGCAACGGAUCUCUUGGCUCUC